AAAAAAUCCACUGUCAUCUGCUGAAGGACUGAAGCAUGUAGCAGCCCAGUGAGCACCAUGGCGCGGAUACAGAAGAAGCUAAUGAGCUGAGCUGUUGAGGUCCUUUCAGCCCAGCUGAAAUUACCUAACAGACAAAAGAAAGAGCUAGGUGCACAGUGUCAGCAUAGCCACAGAGGACACUGCUGAGACAGCCAAAGAAGUGAUGAAAAGAGUGAACAGGAAACGAGGGAGGACAGUGACUGCCAAAUAAAAAGUUAUGCUUCAGGAAUCCAAUUCCAAACCUUAGAUGUUUCCCUCAGGGAGGCCGCCACAGAAUUUCCAUCAUGGGGUGGAAAAGAGGAUACAAGCCAGAAGAAGCGCAUGUCUGGAGUGAAACUGUAUUUGCUGGACCUGACAGCAGAGUUGCAUACGUGAACUCACAGGGCCUGUGACAGCAUCAACAUGACCAGCCAGCCAAAAUGCCAGCAUGGAUGGCGGAGGGGCUUGGAAGCCUCACCCCCACCUGGGGAGCUACUGGCAAUUUCGAGCAGCUGGGGGGGGAGGGACAGUCGAUUUUCUUCAGGGAUGUGGGUCCUGACAGGAUGGCUUGUAGGUAGUCCCACAGGUGGGUACUUACAGAUGGCCCUAAAUGGACUGAGUAUCAGAUUGGUGGUAGCAGUAGGGAGAGCACAUGAAACUGGGAGGGAGCUGUGUAUGGGGAACAACAGAGAUGGUAGCAGAGGGGAAGGAAUGGGGUAUAUUUGGAUUAGAUCCAAAUUCUAGAGACUCUGAUAAACACUUGACCAGCCCAGAGCAGAGUGUAUGAGGUUGAUAGUCACCUGAGAGCACUGUUAGUACUAGCUGAGAGGCACCUCAGGCUGGGCAGCAACUUGUGCGCCUUCUCCCUCAGGCCAGGAAGUGCUAGG